GCAUCGAUGAAGAACGCAGCGAAACGCGAUAGGUAAUGUGAAUUGCAGAAUUCCGUGAAUCAUCGAAUCUUUGAACGCACCUUGCACUCUAUGGCAAUCCGUAGAGCAUGCCUGUUUGAGUGCCAUGAAAUCUCCCACCCCAAGCGGUUUUUAAAUGAAACGGCUUGGCGGAUGAGGUCUGGAUGGGUGCCUCUGCCUGCGCUACCUAGCACAGGCUCGCCCGAAAUGCAUGAGCGCCUUGAGACACUUUGCAUCCGCCUCUCUGUUUGGGAGGAGGCGGCCAAGCAGUGUUUUUCUCCUGGCAUGGCAUGAUACGUCAUUUGCUAUGUCGCCUAAAGGAGGAAUGUUUGGUUGUGUCUGCGUGUGCUUCGAACUUGCCUCUGUGGCACAUCCCAAUUUCACUUCUGGUCUCAAAUCAGGUAGGAUCACCCGCUGAACUUAAGCAUAUCAAUAAGCGGAGGA
rnacentral:rRNA from 1 species